rnacentral:misc_RNA from 1 species
UCUGUAAAAGGCCUAGAUUCUACUUCGUCUUCAAUAACCCGCAAGGUGCAGGAGGUUCUUAUUUCUUGCAAGGAAAUAAAGCCAGAUGAUGGAAAUGGACAUGACAGACCAGAAUUAAACCCAAAAUGGAUUAGUUUACUGACAAUGGCAAAAGCUUGCUUGUCGACAAUCUCUAUUGAAGAUACUUCUGGUACUGUGCGGAGAAGUAAGGACAACUUCAAAGAAAAGCUGAGAGAGCUUGGAGGACUUGAUGCGGUCUUUGACGUGGCAAGAAGUUGUCAUUCUGUUUUGGAGGGUUGGUCAAAGAAAAGUUCACAGUCUAUCGUAGAUUCUAAAGAUAAUACGGCCAUAGAAAGUCUGGUGCUACUCUUAAAAUGUUUGAAGAUCAUGGAAAAUGCAACCUUUCUUAGUACGGACAAUCAGAAUCACUUGCUUCAAAUGAAAGGAAAAUUUG